GACGAACGCUGGCGGCGUGCCUAAUACAUGCAAGUCGAACGCAGUGGGGACGGGUGAGUAACACGUUGGUAACCUCCCAUCAGAGGGGAUAACACUUGGAAACAGGUGCUCAACCGAUAAUGAUGUAUGGACCCGCGGUGCAUUCGCUAGUUGGUGGGGUAACGGCGAACCAAGGCAGCGAUGCAUAGCCGACCUGAGAGGGUGAUCGGCCACACGUGGACUGAGACACGGCCCAGACUCCUACGGGAGGCAGCAGGAGGGAAUCUUCGGCAAUGGACGAAAGUCUGACCGAGCAACGCCGCGUGAGUGAAGAAGGUUUUCGGAUCGUAAAGCUCUGUUGUUAGAGAAGCGGUAUCUAACCAGGAAGCCACGGCUAACUACGUGCCAGCCGCCGCGGUAAUAC
rnacentral:rRNA from 1 species